AGAGAGUGGUAACAUUAACACGUCAUUUGAUGGAGAAUAUACACAGUUAUGGAUUCAUAGACAUUCCACAUGCCACUUUAAUAACAUGAAUUCUAUAGGUGAGUACAAUGACUGAUCCACAACCAUUGCUUACAUACAUAACACCAAGAGAUGCAUGUAUUCCACUCAGCCUGAAAUGUUGUGCAUGUACAUAGGUAUCAGUACUAUUUAAACUGCUUCUUGUGUUAUGCCUGUUUCUGAAGUUGGGUGGAAGUUCAUGCAUUUAUUUGCAUCUGUAUGCAUGAGCAGUUAAUUAUAGGUAGAACGUGAGUGAGACUUGUAAGUGGAAUAUGCUUGAUCAGUGCUUGUGAGGGUGCAGAAAAUAGUGAGUGGGACUUCACUGAUAAAGAUCCUGAGGCCUGGUGACAACAAGAUGGUGAUGAGCUUGUUUCCAUGGCUUCCUGCUUCAAGACUACUGCUGCUGGUGAUGUGGAUUUUGUGUUGAGGGCAGACAUACUAACAACAGCCUGUCGGGUAUUGGAACUGGAUGUAAGGUUGGUG